UUAGUAGUAGGUGUAGAGGGGGAGUUAAUGUAACUCCCUUGUCUUUCCCUCAUCUUCUCUCAUUUGCAUUAUAACUACAGAAAAAAUACAGUAGGAAAGAUAUCACUCUGUAUUUUCAACCUAUCUCUCACUCAUACAAAUCUUCCUGAGAAAUUCCCUUUACCAAAAUUUUUUCUUGAAGCUCACACUUCAUUUCCUUGUAUUGUGAGAAUAAUGAGGACUCCUUUUGGUGGUGUUCACUUGGCGGAAGAGUUCCUGUGCUUCUACAAAAGUUUUGUUCAUGAUCUCGAAAGAGAAUGGCAUGAAGAUUGUCAAUUCUUCAUAGGUAAUUUUUCCUCAUCUUUUUAUUCUCAAUGAAUAGUAUGCUUAGCCUUUUAAAUUUGUAAAAUCAUUAUUGAUUUUUCCACUUUCAAUCAAAGACAAAACGUUUAAACGCUUUCGCAUUGGGAUUCAAUCCCUUCAAAAUGACAAUUUGUGUUGGCAAAUCACCUGUUACCAUUUGAUAAGCAAAUAAUUGGCAUGAAUAAGAGCUAAAGGUAAAAGUCUUCUUGAAACAUUAAAUAAUUACUUUCAACCUAAGUCUUCAAGCUAUGGUGAAGAGUUGCAACUAUUCGAGCUUUAAGACCACCCAAAAGACACCAUGAAUUUGAAAUUCUAAAUUCAUCCCAUUACUAAAAACUAUUUUUUUAUAUAUAUAAAACAACUAAGUCAUUGUCAUUCAUACAUUAUAGUCAUAGAAAUUAAUAAAUCAAAAUUAAUUAAUUUAAGAUUAUAAAAGAUAAAAUUAAUAUACAUUUAAUUUUAAAAUGAAUAAAUUAAAAUUUUCUUUUAAAAUAUCAUAAAAGUUGAUGCAAAAUACAUUCAAGGUUAUACAGUUCACCAAACAACCAUUAAAAAAUAAGAAAAAAUCAGAUUACCCAAAUCCAUGUCUGCACCCCAAACACAGGCUUGAAAAUCCCAGGCUACCAAAUCUUGCAUCCCAAACAUAGGCAUUUGUAUCCUAGGCUUGAGAACCCCCUCAAAUAAGCCUUCAGGAAUUUGAUUCUCAGGCUUUUGAUUUCCAACCUGCGCCUCAAACGUCCCCUUAAUUACUUUCUAGUUAAUAUGCCGAUUAAUUUAAAUUUCUAUAAUUUAUUAUUAUUGUUAUUGUUGCUGUUAUUAUUAUUAUUAUUAUUAUUAUUAUUGCACACUUUGGGCAACUUAUAGCCUAUAUUCAAUAUGUGUCAAUGGACGGGGCAUAAAUGUUGAUGGAAUAUCCUAUUCUAUCUUGUAAGAGAAUGACAUAGAUAUUGAUGCAAUUUCUUGAGAUGGUGGCAUAUAUGAAUUGUUUGGAAUUGCAUAUAGACUAUUCUUAGUUACUAGAAUGCUUUGGAAGAGUGAACACAUGAAGGGGUAUCACAAAGACUCCUUUCCAUGUCAAAACGUUGUGGAUGUGUCUUCAUCAUUUCUAAUGACAAAUGUUGGGGUUUUGGACCUCAAUUAGAAAGUACACAUCUUAUUAUAAGAUUGUAUUAAUUAUCCAAAUUUAUAUUACUUAUUCUAUAAAUCGAUUUAAAAAUUCAUCGUACGUUGUUUCAAUCUCUAUGUCAAGCCAUCUCAAUUUAGCUCUAUGGUUGUCUUUUUCACUCUCAUUUGAAACACUAUCAAAAUAAAUCUAUACACUAAGCAUUAAUCAUUUAUAAUUUUAUAAACUUAUAGUAUUAUAAUUAGUGCAAAACAAUCAUAGAGAAUAUUUUUUUUUUUUAAAGAAAAAAACAUAUACUUUGUCCUUACCCAAUCAAAUGUACAUCGGUCUAUAAAACAGAUUACAAGUAUUGGAAAUGAUUUUUGGACUUAGGCCCAUAGGAAAAGUUAAGAGAGUGGGAAGUUUUAUCCCACAUGGAUAGAUUUAGAAUUGCCUAGAGGGUUUAAAUACCAAGGCAUUCUAAAUGAGAAUCCAAAUUGAGUUAGUGGUGGAAGUAUAAUCCUUUCACUACACACGUGUGUCAUUGUUGCCAUUUGCCUAGUCAAACAGUUGGGUUCGGGUAACUAUGCUUGCUUGAAAAAGAAUUAAAUUUUUAUUAUUUAUCCUUUAUAAAUAUUCAUUGAGCUUCUGACUAUUGGUUUCUGUCCAUUAACGAACCUUUCCGUUCGUUGGUAUCCUCCUCUCACACACUAUAUAACACUGUUCAGAUCUAUCAGAGAGGACAUACAACUGAAUUUCAUUCCUUCCUUUCCACUUGAUUCUUAUCGGUUCUAAUCCUUUUUUCGGUGAGUUGUGUUAACCUUGGGGAGCAACCGACAUAAGCGAUUAGUAUCGAGGUCGCGCCGUAUUUGCUUUCAAAGCAGUGAUUUUUCUACGACCCAGCAACUUUCGUGACAUCCAUUUCAAUAAUCUGAAAGAAAAUAACACAGAUGUCGAUCAAGAAUGGUAAAGUUCUCUCUAACGAGUCCAAGCUUGAACCACUAGAUGAAGUAAAUUAUCACCGCUAGUAUUAGAAAUUAUUGAUUUUCUUCGAGCAGCUAGAGAUUGAUUAUAUCCUCAACACAGUAGUGCCUACCAAAAAAGUGAGCAUUGUCUCUUAUCCAGAAUUCUCCGUCCAACCUAUUGAUGUUUCUAAUCAAUCAAAGCAAUUUACAAUUGAUCCUGAUAAGUACAAGAAAGACAACAAAAUAGUCUGCAGGCAUCUGCUGAAUCAUAUGACAGAUUCAAUGUUCGAGUUCUUUGUGGUCCAAAAAUUAGUAAAGGUAAUUUGGAGUACAUUGGAGUCCUGAUAUGGAGGAGAUGAUACUGGUCGCAAAAAGUACAUUGUAGGUAAAUGGUUAUAAUUCUAAAUGACAGACGAGAAAUUGAUAGUGGAGCAGAUACAUGAGUAUGAAAAUUUGGUGGCAAACAUUCUGGCUGAGGGCAUGAAAAUGUGUGAGAUUCUACAAGCUAAUGUGCUGCUUGAGAAAAUUUCCCAUCCUGGAGCAACUACAUAAAUCAUCUAAAAUACAAAAAGAAUGAUCUAACACUUUAGGAGCCAAUCAGUCACAUGCGCACCAAAGAAGCCAACAAACUAAAAGAUAAACUAAUUUCUGGAAAUAUAAAUUUAGUUAAUGCUAUCUUGGUUGAAUCUUUUGUUGUUAACAAAGACAAGUCCAAAAAUCAUAAAAAAAAAUAGUCUGUAAAGAAUAAGACUGAGAAGAAAAAACUGAUUUGUUAUGUCUGUGGGAAAUCAAAACACAAAUCUUAUCAAUGCAGUCAAAGGAAAGGAAGGCCAAGUCAGCAACCCAUACCACAAACUAAUCUUGUUGAACAAGAUGACAUAAUUGUUGCUGUUGUGGAAGCAAACCUGAUAGAAAACAAAACUGACUUCGAGACAUUUAUGUUCAAACUGAGAGCUCUUCCAUGACUAUAAGGACACUGUUGAUAGAGAAUGUGUGUUUAUGGGUAACUCAGCCACAACAAAAGUGCUUGGAAAAGGGAAGGUUCUUUUAAAAUUAACCUUUGGAAAAACUUUAUCCUUAAAUAAUAUAUUGUAUGUACCUUCCUUACGUAGGAACUUGGUAUCGAAGAGCCUAUUGAAUCGGACUGGGCUUAAAAUUGUCCUAGAAGCUAACAAGGUUGUCCUCGCCAAAAAUGGAGACUGUGUUCGGAAGAGAUAUCUUGUUGAUGGUCUUUUUGUACUGAAUACUGUCUCUGUUUCAAAUAUGAUGAAUUUUCAAACAACUCAAUUGAACGGACUAAAGAAGUAGGAAUGGAUCUUCAUUUGCUAUCGUCAAACCUCGAUCGUCGUUUGCCGGCCACCAUCAAUUGUCGUCGUCAAUCAUCGCCAGUCAUAGUCGAAUGAAGAGAGCAAGGUCGUCGCAGUCAUAGUUAGCAAUAUCAGUCAAGGCAUUCAACUUGAAAUCAUAAGGGUUUGUGAUAUUAAUCAUCAUCAAAUUAUUAUUUCUAUUUUAUUUAAUAACUUUGAUGUAAUUCAAGUAUUUUCCAAUUUUAUAUUUUGUAUGACAUCUUAAGUAGGGAUAUUUUUAUCAUUUUUUUUAUUAACAAUGAUGUGGCAUUAGGUUUUUUUUGGGAGGCUAUUAAAGUCUUAUUAUUAGGUCGUUUGAUCAGUUUAUUUAUUUUUUUAUUUUUUAUUAUUAUUUUUUUUUAAUGUUUGAAUUCUUUAGGGUUUAUUCUAAAUGGAAAUAUUUUGUGGA